GCCGGAGUGGUGGAAUUGGUAGACACACCAUCUUGAGGGGGUGGCGUCUAAAUACGGGCGUGCCGGUUCAAGUCCGGCCUCCGGCA
rnacentral:tRNA from 1 species